CGAUCUCAAAUCAGGUAGGACUACCCGCUGAACUUAAGCAUAUCA
rnacentral:rRNA from 1 species